CUUCAGCGACCCCAGCCACAGCGGCCGGUCGGCCGGCCGGUUCGCGCCGUAGGUGGCGAGCAGCGCCUGCGCCUC
rnacentral:antisense_RNA from 1 species